UACAGGGGGGGCAAGCGUUGUUCGGAAUUACUGGGCGUAAAGGGCUCGUAGGCGGCCAACUAAGUCGGAUGUGAAAUCCCCAGGCUUAACCUGGGAACUGCAUCCGAUACUGGAUGGCUUGAAUCCGGGAGAGGGAUGCAGAAUUCCAGGUGUAGCGGUGAAAUGCGUAGAUAUCUGGAGGAAUACCGGUGGCGAAGGCGGCAUCCUGGACCGGCAUUGACGCUGAGGAGCGAAAGCUAGGGGAGCAAACGGG
rnacentral:rRNA from 1 species